AGCUUUGCGCAGUGGCAGUAUCGUAACCAAUGAGGUUCAUCCGAGGUGCGAUUAUUGCUAGUUGAAAACUAUUCCCAAUACCCCGCUCUGGCGAUGUAAUAGCAUUGCCUGUGGCAAUUUCUGAAGGGUUCUGCGGAAC